GACGAACGCUGGCGGCGUGCUUAACACAUGCAAGUCGAACGGAAAGGCCCUGCUUUUGUGGGGUGCGCGAGGGGCAAACGGGUGAGUAACACGUGAGUAACCUGCCCUUGACUUUGGGAUAACUUCAGAAAUCGGGGUCAAAUCCCGGAGGGGCCCUCUUGAGUGUGGGGGGGGGUUGGAUUUUUCGGUGGGGGAUGGACUCGCGGCCUAUCAGCUUGUUGGUGGGGUGGUGGCUUACCAAGGCGGCGACGGGUAGCCGGCCUGAGAGGGUGGGCGGCCACAUUGGGACUGAGAUACGGCCCAGACUCCUACGGGAGGCAGCAGUGGGGAAUAUUGCACAAUGGGCGGAAGCCUGAUGCAGCAACGCCGCGUGCGGGAUGACGGCCUUCGGGUUGUAAACCGCUUUCGCCUGUGACGAAGCGUGAGUGACGGUAAUGGGUAAAGAAGCACCGGCUAACUACGUG
rnacentral:rRNA from 1 species